UAGAUACCCUAUUAUUUUGGAUUUAAAAAUUUAACUUGAGUAGUAUUAGAUAUGGUCUUGAAACUUAAAGAAUUUGGCGGUAUUUUAGUCUAGUUAGAGGAAUCUGUUUCGUUAUCGAUAACCCACGUUGGACCUUACUUAAUAUAAUUUAAUAUGUAUACCGCCGUUUGUUUGAAGAUCUUUUUAGGGUCAAUUUUCUUUAAUUUGUAACUAAUUUAAUUUCAGGUCAAGGUGCAGUUGAUGAUUAAGUGAUAAUGGAUUACAUUAUUUCUGAAAUAUACGAAUUAAUAUCUGAAAGUGUUUUAUGAAGGUGGAUUUGAUAGUAAUUAAUAACAAGAAUUGUUAUUGUGAUUAUAGCUCUAGAAUGUGCACACAUCGCCCGUCACUCUCGUUAUUAAGAUGAGAUAAGUC
rnacentral:rRNA from 1 species